rnacentral:rRNA from 1 species
UGAGGAAUUUUACGCAAUGGGAGCAAUCCUGAUGCAGCAACGCCGCGUGAGGGAAGACGGUCUUCGGAUUGUAAACCUUUAGCUUUGGGGAAGGAACAAAUGACGGUACCCAAAGGGGCAGCCACGGCUAACUACGUGCCAGCAGCCGCGGUAAUACGUAGGUGGCAAGCGUUGUCCGGAAUUACUGGGUGUAAAGGGAGCGCAGGCGGGGAGACAAGUCAGCUGUGAAAACUAUGGGCUUAACCCAUAGAUUGCAGUUGAAACUGUUUUUCUUGAGUGGAGUAGAGGUAGGCGGAAUUCCGAGUGUAGCGGUGAAAUGCGUAGAUAUUCGGAGGAACACCAGUGGCGAAGGCGGCCUACUGGGCUCUAACUGACGCUGAGGCUCGAAAGUGUGGGGAGCAAACA